rnacentral:rRNA from 1 species
UACAGAGGGGGCAAGCGUUGUUCGGAAUUACUGGGCGUAAAGGGCGCGUAGGCGGCCUGUUAAGUCGGACGUGAAAUCCCUCGGCUCAACCGGGGAACUGCGUCCGAUACUGGCGGGCUUGAAUUCGGGAGAGGGAUGUGGAAUUCCAGGUGUAGCGGUGAAAUGCGUAGAUAUCUGGAGGAACACCGGUGGCGAAGGCGGCAUCCUGGACCGACGAUUGACGCUG